UGGGUUGGGUUGGGUUGGGUUGGGUUGGUUGGGUUGGGUUGUUGGGUUGGGUUGAGUUGGGUUGGGUUGGGUUGGGUUUGGGUUGGGUUGGGUUGGGUUGGGUUGGGUUGGGUUGGUUGGGUUGGUUGGGUUGGGUUGGGUUGGGUUGGGUUGGGUUGGGUUGGUUGGGUUGGGUUGGGUUGGGUUGGUUGGGUUGGGUUGGGUUGAGUUGGGUUGGGUUGGGUUGAGUUGACUCAACUUGAGUUGGUUGACUUCGGUCGCCUUGAGUUCCAUUGACUUUGCCCAAAUCCAUUGACCUCUCCUCGACCUCCCUCCCAUUCCCCGCCCUCCACCUCCCAUUGGCCGCCCCCGCCUGGCCCCUCCCCCCCGGCCCCUCCCCCCAGACCCGCCCUGCCUUGGCGGCCGGGCGGCAGCCGGGGGCCAAGCGGUGGCGGCGGCGGCAGCGGGCGAGCGGGCGGCGCCGCAGAGCAGCGCCAAGGGCUUGAGAAGAAGCAGCGCGAGCGCGAGCGCCGCGAGCCACGCCCCCGGGGGGAGGGGCUCCAGGGCCUCGUCCUCACCGACGACGACCGGCACCUGCUGGAGCGCUGGACCAAGAUGGCCGACGGCGCCCAGCCCCGCCCGCAAGCCCCGGCCCCCUGCCCGGCCCCGCCCAACGAGGCGUGGCCGGCCCCCGGUGGGCGGAGCCUCCGGACGUGGCCACGGUGACGCAGCAGCUGCAGAAGUCGCAGGUGGAGGAUCCGCUGCCGCCCGUGUUCCCGGUGACGCCCAAGGGCAGCGGCGCCGGGUACGGCGUCGGCUUCGACCUCGAGGAGUUCCUGAGCCAAUCGCUCGACAUGGUGGGCGAGGCCAAGGACAGCCACGUGGACUCGGCGCCGCUCUCGGCGUCGCUCUUGGCCGAUUGGCUGGAGGUUCACCGCCUCAGCCCCGCCGCGCUCGAGAGCCUCCAGCGCGACCUCACGCUGGGCUCGCCCAUGCUCGACGACCUGCCCGACCCCUGACCCCGCCCCUCAUUACCAUACCCGCGGCCCCGCCCCCUCCCCCAUUAAACUUUGUACCCAAACUCCGCCCCCUUCGCGCCGUUUCUCGCCGUUUUUCGCCGUUUCUCGACGUUUUUUGCGCCUUUUUGGGUGCAAUUUUCGCCUCUUUUCGGUGGAAUUUUCACCCAAAGCCGUGA
rnacentral:lncRNA from 1 species